rnacentral:rRNA from 1 species
AGGACGAGCGCUGGCGGCGUGCUUAACACAUGCAAGUCGAGCGGAAAGGCCCUUCGGGGUACUCGAGCGGCGAACGGGUGAGUAACACGUGAGCAACCUGCCCUUAGCUCUGGGAUAGCUCCGGGAAACCGGAAUUAAUACCGGAUACGACCUAGGCCGACAUCGGCCAUGGUGGAAAGUUUUUCGGCUAGGGAUGGACUCGCGGCCUAUCAGCUAGUUGGUGGGGUAAAGGCCUACCAAGGCGACGACGGGUA